AACGAACGCUGGCGGCAUGCCUAACACAUGCAAGUCGAACGAGACCUUCGGGUCUAGUGGCGCACGGGUGCGUAACGCGUGGGAACCUGCCCUUAGGUUCGGAAUAACUCCCCGAAAGGGGUGCUAAUACCGGAUAAUGUCUUCGGACCAAAGAUUUAUCGCCUUUGGAUGGGCCCGCGUUAGAUUAGCUCGUUGGUAGGGUAAAAGCCUACCAAGGCGACGAUCCAUAGCUGGUCUGAGAGGAUGAUCAGCCACACUGGGACUGAGACACGGCCCAGACUCCUACGGGAGGCAGCAGUGGGGAAUAUUGGACAAUGGGCGAAAGCCUGAUCCAGCAAUGCCGCGUGAGUGAUGAAGGCCUUAGGGUUGUAAAGCUCUUUUAACCGGGAUGAUAAUGACAGUACCGGGAGAAUAAGCUCCGGCUAACUCCGUG
rnacentral:rRNA from 1 species